AUCUUUUUAUUUAUUAUAUUUUAUUAUUUUCUUGUAUUAUUUUUAGUUAUUUUCUGUUAUUACAGUAUUUUAUUGUAUUAAUUUUUUAGUGUUUUUAAUUAUUUUUAGUGUUUUUUAUUAUUUUUUAUUGGGUUGCUAGGAGACCAAGUUGGAGGAGCUUAGCCUUCUAACUGGCAGCAAUUGGAUAAAAGCAAUUAUUCCUCUCCCUCUAAUUAGGACUUUAUUUUUCUUUUCUUUUUGUUGUAUCAACCUAGAGGCGUGGAUGAUGGGUUGUGUUGUCAAAUUUCGAGGUUGGGGGGGCUGUAGUUUUGUUGUUUUGUGGGUCGCCGUGAUGCCAUCACUCUUAUAUAUAUAGAUAUAUAGCGAGGAACUGAGUUAUGAAGAAAUCAUUUAUAUCUAUAUAUGUUGUUGUGUUAGGAAGAAACUCAAUUGUAGUGUAUUUGGACAAUUUUGUAAGUGUUUUAAGGGAUUCAAACUGAAUUUGUAGGUUGUGAAUUUAAAAUGAUAAAGGUGGGAAAUAAUAACAAGAACAAGUCAAUUAAAUAGUAGGCAUUCAACACCAACCACAGCGGCUCACUAUCAGCUUGUCAUUCAAAUACAUCAAACCAAACAUAUACCGUAUAUACUCGAAUAUAAGCCGACCCAAAUAUAAGCCGAGGCACCUAAUUUUACCACAAAAAACUGGGAAAACUUAUUGACUCGAGUAUAAGCCGAGGGUGGGAAAUGCAGCAGUUAAGGGUAAAUUUCAAAAUAAAAAUAGAUACCAAUAAAAUUACAUUAACUGAGGCAUAAGUGGGGUAAAUGUUUUUUGAAUAUUUACCGUAUUUCAAAGAAAAACAGUAAGCUAACUCUGUAAGUGCAUAAGUAGGGUCAACAAAAACAAUAUGGUAUCAACAAUAACCUAAUAAUAACAAUAAUACUAAUAAAAACUUCAUUUGGAUCCCACCCUGUCUCCCCAUGGGGACUCAGGCCGGCUUCCAACAUAGUAACAGGCAAACAUUCAAUGCUUAUAUAAACAAUGCAGAGCUAGAUAUAGAUCUAUAAUUAUAUAUACUGAUUUCACAUUUGCAUUUCCACCCUGAAAAGUUUGCAAAUCCUCUGUGCAUUUCCCUCCUGUAAUAUUUGCAAGUCCCAUUUAUCUAUGUUUACAUCUAUCUAGACAUCUCUCUGUAUGUGUGCAUAUUUAAAAGGCCUAUAUCUAUAUUAAUAUCUAUUUGACAUUGCUCUAUAUAGAGAGAAUUAUAUCUUACUAGCUUUGCCCGGCCACGCGAUGCUGUGGCUUAUGGGAAUUAUUUGUUGACCAGGUGGAAUAGGAGUGAAUAGCCUUGCAGCGUGAAAGUCUGGCCGUUUUGUGGAGUGGUUGGAGUCGUAGCAUUAAUCAAAGAGGCGCUUUGAAGUGUGGGUACUUCCUUAGUUGGGGAAUUCUUGUUUGGCCAGAUUGAAUGGUAUUGAAUAGGUUUGUAGGUUAAAAGCCUGGUUGGUUUGCACAUAAGGUCUUGUUGCUAGGCGAGAUUGAAUAGGACAGAGUAGUGUUGUGGUUUCAAAGUUUGGGGGUUUUGUAUGUAGGGGAAAUGUUGGUUGGCCUGGUUGAAAAGUAUUGAAUAGCCUUGAUGGUUGUAAGCCUGGUCGGUUCUUACCUUGCGGAAUCCUUGGUUGGUCAGUUUGAAUAGGAAUUAAUAGUGUCGGUGUGGGAGGUUUGAAUGGUGGAAUUAGCCACCUUGGUUAGUUUUUAAUGGCCUUGCAGGUUGAAAUGGUGUUUGUUUACUGUCUGGAGGAAUGUUUUGUUGGGAAGUGUUAGCUGGCCCUGAUUGUUUCGUUUGUAGAAUUCCCAAUUUCCCUGCUUUCCGAGUGUUGGUCUUUAUUUCGUCUCCUGGUUUUAGAGAUCAUAUUGUUUUCUAUUAUUAUACCAUAGUAAGUCUUAUAUUUAUAAUGUUAUAUUAGGUGGUGAGAAUUGUAUUAUAUGAGGUCAGUUGUACAUAGUUGUAUAAAAUGUAGACUGAACUGGAUUAGAUGGCAGUGUAGAGUGAAGGCGAUGUCAUAGAGGAAUAUUAUUUAGAAUGCCAAGGCUCAUCUGCCAAUACCUCCUUUAAACUGGAUUAUCUACCUUGGCAUUCUAAAUAAUAUUCCUCUAUGACAUCGCCUUCACUCUACACUGCCAUCUAAUCCAGUUCAGUCUACAUUUUAUACAACUAUGUACAACUGACCUCAUAUAAUCCAAUUC